GCUUCCUUAGCUCAGCUGGUAGAGCGCAUCCAUGGUAAGGAUGAGGUCACCGGUUCAAAUCCGGUAGGAAGCUCCA
rnacentral:tRNA from 1 species